rnacentral:rRNA from 1 species
CAGUCGCCGCGGUAAUACGAAGGGGGCUAGCGUUGUUCGGAAUUACUGGGCGUAAAGCGCACGUAGGCUGACAUUUAAGUCAGGGGUGAAAUCCCGGGGCUCAACCUCGGAACUGCCUUUGAUACUGGGUGUCUUGAGUGUGGAAGAGGUAAGUGGAAUUGCGAGUGUAGAGGUGAAAUUCGUAGAUAUUCGCAGGAACACCAGUGGCGAAGGCGGCUUACUGGUCCACAACUGACGCUGAGGUGCGAAAGCGUGGGGAGCAAACAGGAUUAGAUACCCCCGUAGUCCCUGUCUCUUAUAC